UUUUCUUCCAGAAAUAUUUUAAUAAAAAUUGGCCUUUUCCAAGAAACACCCACUGCAUGUCCAUCAGUAAAAGAGAACCGUAACAAAAUAGAAAAUUUACCAUAUGGCUAUGAUUUAAAGAAAAAAAAUAUGCAGACCCUGGAGCACAUUAGCCAAGAGAUCGGGAGAG